UCCCUGGUGAUCCAGUGGUUAAGAUGCUGUGCUUCCAAUGCACGUGGCCCAGGUUCAAUCCUUUGUUGGGGAA
rnacentral:tRNA from 1 species